rfam:Apaloderma vittatum contig38167, whole genome shotgun sequence.
AAUAGCUCGGUCAGUUGAGCAUGGCGCUGACAACGCCAAGGUCGCGGGUUCGAUUCCCAUUU